AGACAGAGGAUGCAAGCGUUAUCCGGAAUGAUUGGGCGUAAAGCGUCUGUAGGUGGCUUUUCAAGUCCGCCGUCAAAUCCCAGGGCUCAACCCUGGACAGGCGGUGGAAACUCCCAAGCUGGAGUACGGGAGGGGCAGAGGGAAUUUCAGGGGGAGCGGGGAAAUGCAUUGAGAUCGGAAAGAACACCAACGGCGAAAGCACUCUGCUGGGCCGACACUGACACUGAGAGACGAAAGCUAGGGGAGCAAAUGGGAUUAGAUACCCUGGUAGUCCGCACAGUAAACGAUGAUAACUCGCUGUUGGCUCGCAAGGAGUCAGUGGCCAAGCGAAAGCGAUAAGUUAUCCACCUGGGGAGUACGGCCGCAAGGUUGAAACUUAAAGGAAUUGACGGGG
rnacentral:rRNA from 1 species